CAGGUGAGAGGGUAAUCAGGUGAGCGGGUAAAAGGGUAAUCAGGUGAGAGGGUAAUCAGUUGAGUGGGUGAGAGGGUAAUCAGUUGAGCGGGUGAGAGGUUAAUCAGGUGAGCGGGUGAGAGGGUAAACAGGUGAGCAGGUGAGAGGGUAAUCAGGUGAGAGGGUAAUCAGUUGAGCGGGUGAGAGGUUAAUCAGGUGAGCGGGUGAGAGGGUAAUCAGGUGAGAGGGUAAUCAGGUAAGCGGGUGAGAGGGUAAUCAGGUGAGAGGGUAAUCAGGUGAGAGGGUAAUCAGUUGAGCGGGUGAGAGGUUAAUCAGGUGAGCGGGUGAGAGGGUAAUCAGGUGAGAGGGUAAUCAGGUGAGAGGGUAAUUAGGUGAGAGGGUAAUCAGGUGAGAGGGUAAUCAGGUAAGCGGGUGAGAGGGUAAUCAGGUGAGCGGGUAAUCAGGUGAGCAGGUGAGAGGGUAAUCAGGUGAGAGGGUAAUCAGGUGAGAGGGUAAUCAGGUGAGCAGGUGAGAGGGUAAUCAGGUGAGCAGGUGAGAGGGUAAUCAGGUGAGCAGGUAAUGCAUGUCUUCAUGCACAUAAUCACGUCAUUACAGUGCUGGAGCUUGACUGAACACGAUCAUUGUGUGUAGAGACGCCACACAUCAUUCCACAAACCUCCUGAAUACUCAUCACCGUCAUGACCACACCCAUUUCAACGUGAUCAGCAUGAUGCGCUCACUUCCUGUGUCCUCACCACCAGCGAAUCAUCAGUUCCUUUUCCAACUCCGCUGCACGAUCACGAUCCUGCCUGAGUGUGAACGUUGUGUCUAUCCAUUAAUUAAAAGCUUUCAGUUCAAGUUGAGAAUUGGAUAAACAAUGCAGGACCAAUCUGGACGAGGGAUCAGGGUGGUGUGGCUGGAGGGGGGAGGGGGUGUACAGUAGACACGUCUGCAGGCAAAAAUGUUCCUCAAACUUCAGAAAGAAAGAAUGUGCGUUGUGGCUCGCUAAAAGAAGAGGGGACUCUGAAGGACAGGGUGAUGAAGGAACACGUGUCGAGAAGUCCGACAUUCUUUGUCGUCCAUCAUCCGACAUCAUUUUUGCGGAUUCGGUAGUGGCGUUUUAGAGGGUCGUCACGGUAACACCGUUCUUGACGCUUUGAGACCUCAUCUAAAGUUUUUGUUGGGGGUCCUGUGUGAAAUGGUGUACGUUCAAUAAAUGAAGCGCUUUGCAAACAUUUAUAAUUAAAGGUUAAACGGAAGUCUGGACUCACGGCAGAUUGUCCCCCAGCCCCGCCCCCACAAGCCACAUUUGUAUUGCUCUUUAUUUCAUUUCCCUCGCGUGCUAAGGCCAGUCGAGCCGAACGUGUUCAUCGAAAGGCAUUCAGAGCCGAGCGAUCAGGGGAUUGAUUAAUAAUUUGCCCCUGGUCAGGAGCAAACACCUCGAUUCCAUUUCCCAGCAUUCUCCUGAGUGUGUGCUGACUCAGCUGUAACAAAUGACUUUCAUCCGAGCUCAGAUCGCUCCGGCAUGGCACCUGACAGCGUAAUUAAACGUCCGAGGAUGCGUUCCUGAUUUUAUUGUAAUUAUUAUUUUAAAUAACUAGUCAUUCUGCAUAAACCGUAAACUCCUCUGUCCUGAAAGCGUUCCUCCAGGUUCCUCCAGAGCUGCUGGAGCUUCUGUGGAGUGAAGAUGUAAAGUGCUGACACUGGAAUCUCCUUUCAUGGAUGCUAAUUAAAUAAACUACUCCUUACCGAGGACACCCCCCAUGUUAAACGCAGUCUACUUGACUCUAUAUGUUACUAUAGAAACAAUAACAAGAAAACGUACACUGACACUGGAGACUCCUUACAUGGAUGUAAAUUUAAUCUAUUUACACAAAUAAAGCCCCCACGCGAACGAGACUCGUUUCUAUAGAAACGAUAACGGUACAGGGAGACUUUCUGUACACGUUAAUUGCCCCACCCCUCCACCUCGGGAAAGAAAACGCCGUUACGGUUACUAUCCUGAUACGAGAACAUUUAAGCGAAAGUGUGUAUUUAAACCCUUAUUAAACAGGAAGAUGAAGUUGUUUUGUAGGUAUUCCCCAUGUAAAGUGUCGAGUCGUGAGAUAAAUGACUCCACAUCGGCGUAGCACCAGAGAUGUUUCCCCUCGGCGAGUUCCUGCAGCUUAUAUAUGCUGAUUCGGGGUUAAACUGCUACAUCAGUGCACGCAAGCGCCUGAGUGGACCGUUUUUAUCAAAUAAAUAAAUAAACAUACAGAGUUCCAUAAAUACACUGGAAUUUAUGAGGGGGUACGUUUGCUGACGGAACUGAGCUCGACUGGAUUCCCUUCUAGAUGAGGCACAUGGGUAAAUAGAAUAAAAGGCUCCAGAUCACAUUUGGGCACAUAAAUUCUCUCAGGUUCUUCUGUGGGUCCUUGUAUCAAUAUGCUGGAAAGUAGGCCAGGUUGAGAUCUUCUUUACACAUGACCUUGAAGGUUCUACCCCAGGUUACAUCUUUACAAUUGACCUUGAGGGUUUUUCAGCUACAUUCGGGCCGACAAUUGUUUCUUUACACUUGACUUCAUUUGGACCCCAGGUUGUGUCUCCACACUUGACCUUCAGGGGGUUCUUUCCCAGGAUGCAUCUUUACACUUGACCUUGAGGGUUCUUCGGCCACCCCUAACCUGAAGGGUUUGAGCGUGAUGAAUGAACCUUGGGUUGCAGUUUUACACGUGAUCUUGAGGGCUCUUCAGGUGCGUGUGAACCCCAGGUUGCACCUCUACACUUGACCUUGAAGGUUCUGAAGCUAUAAUUGUAUAUAGAACGUUAGAACUCAGGAUUGCAGACGGCGAGAACCCCAUCAGAACUCUUCUGUAGUGAAGACGUAGCGAUCUGAACUGAAAUCUUCAUAUCAGUGAUCACACACUAUGAACGAGCAGUUGCUAUAGCAACAAUAAUAUUUAUAAUAGAAUGAUACUGUUAAAGUAAAUGAAUGUGUAUUGAUUGCUUGUGUGUGUGUGUGUGUGUGUGUGU